UACGUAGGGGGCUAGCGUUGUCCGGAUUUAUUGGGCGUAAAGAGCGUGUAGGCGGCCAGGUAGGUCUGCUGUGAAAACUCGAGGCUCAACCUCGAGACGUCGGCGGAAACCAUCUGGCUAGAGUCCGGAAGAGGAGAGUGGAAUUCCUGGUGUAGCGGUGAAAUGCGCAGAUAUCAAGAGGAACACCUGCGGCGAAGGCGGGUUGCUGGGCCGACACUGACGCUGAAGUGCGAAAGCUAGGGGAGCGAACGGG
rnacentral:rRNA from 1 species